AGUUCCAAGCCGUACAGUAAACCAGAAUCUUCCAAUAGUGGUUCCGGAAAAGGAGAAUUCAAUUCCAGGAGUUUUUUUUCGUGGCCUUGGCCAAGUCAGUGAUACCGAGUUCUCCAAAGCAGGCAAGUCAGAAAGUUGCAAGUGUUUCUAUUGUAACCAGCCCGGGCACUUUGCAAGGAACUGCCCCGAAAAAAGGAUUCCUACAGCGACAGUUGGUGCACCAAAGUUCCAGGAACAGAACACAGGAAAGACCCAGUAACAAAACAGAUACAGACAUAGAUGAAAUCAAUGGAAACAAUUUGAGUGUUAUGCCAAUGAUUCGAGAUUUGCCAGUAUCAUACGAGAUUUACCCUCUUUUGUCGAAUCGUCUAGAUCAAAUUCUACAAUUAAGAAAUACAAGUGCUAUUUUAAAAAGUUUGAAAAAUGGUGUGUUUCAUGUUAACUUGAGUGUUUACCAGCGACAACUACUACGAUUUCUAUGUAUAUAGGUGGACUCAUUCAACAGGGAUCCAGUGUUGCGAUUUUAGAUGCAAGUUUUUAUUCAAUAAAAUGGUUUCAUGACUUUAAUUUCCAACAUAAUCCUUGUUCAGACAAAUUCCUUGGUCUUAUUUAUGAAGGAGGAAGGAGAUUGCUAAGUAAAUCUAUCAAAAAAAAAAAAAAGAA